CUUAGCUGCUGUAUUAAUGCUUGUGAUGCUAUUGUACAGCUCUGCUGAUAUCGUCUUUAACAGCAGUGUUUUCUCCCAGGUCUUCUUCAAGCCAGUUAAGAGAGGAAGAACAGCUUAGACACUCAGGCAGCUGAACUCACCAAAGGUGGACAUCAUGCAGCCACCCUGAGCCUUGAGCCUCUCUGUGUGAGGAAGCUUUGCUGCUGCUUACCUGGUGAAGUGGCUCUGGACAGAAAUAUUUUUUGCUCUGCUGCAGUGCUGAAGGUAUUCAUUGUAAUGAUGUGUGUAUUUAUUCAACAUGUUUAGUUUCACAGAUUAUCAACACAAAUGUUUCUGUUUAUUUCCUGUUUUGAACCAGCUACAUUCUCCUACUUCAAGUCACUGUCUGUUCAUCCACGGUGUAGCAAGUGCAGCUGCCUAAUAGUGAUCCUACAAGUCCUGCAGUCCUGUGAAGCAAGCUGCAGCAGAUGUCAUCACAUUCAGAUCAUCAGUUCAUCUUUACUGUAGCUUUAAACUUUCCCUGACUCCAGUGAUUCUGUCAACUCGAACACCGAUAACUGCACACAGCGAUUCUACAACCACAGGUCAAAGGUCAAAACAUUACCUCACUCAAAACCUUCACUCUGAACUUUACCGGGCUCUGCUUUUGGUUUUGAAAAAAAGUGCCCAGACAGAACACAGUACUCACUUGAGGAACUGACUGAUUGUCUUCAGGACAGGACAACUAUUACUCUUAUAUUGUUUUGAAUCCUGUUUUCUACAUUAAGUGAUCGGUUGUCGAUAUCUGUUUAUAUUUUAAGUUUCCUUUAUGUUUCUUGGAC
rnacentral:lncRNA from 1 species